UUACAAAUCAGUACCUAGAUCCAAUUAUUUUGAAUACAUACCACAGGUAAAGCGGUAUAUACUCUUGCAUUACACAUUACAUUGAAUAUUGAUGCAGGUAUACAAAAGACCAGGAUGGCAAAAAAGCAAUGUUGCUAAGAGUCCUCUUCACCCUCCGACUGCACAAACUACAGAAAUACCAUCUCUGCGGGGAUGGGAGAAGUGUCUACCCGGCAUGCCACUGGUAGUGGUUUCUCAUUUUGACGCCUGUCUCUGUAUACUUUAGUAUGUCUGUUGAGUGAGUUGUAGUAGCUGUUCUUCUUUGUAUUCUUAAACUUGGUAUAUGGAUUGAAAUUGAACAAAAUCAAGAAUACGACAUGGCUGGAGCGAUAUCUUAUCAACUUGCUCCUGAUCCUUCUCGUGAAGGCCCAUUAUCGCUGCAAGAACUUUCGGCGAUCACUAUUGGCGUAGAUAUGUGGCGCAGUGAAGCAAACAAAAGUACGAGUCGUAGUUCAAAAAGAUUUCAACCAUAUUGCAAACCCAAAUCAGUGAAACCUAUGCUUCCAAAAACGCCACGUUUAAUUAACGAUAUCAUCAAACAAUACAGCGAAAAAUUUGAGAAUUCGAUGAAAUUUUGGCUGAAAGACCUUUUUGGAAAAGCAUUCAAGUUGCGUUACAAUCAUCAGAAUGAUAUUUUGAACGACUUCAAUGAUUUCGUUAUCGAUCAUACUGGUGCCAUUCACGAUAUUGAAACAGCCAAACGUAUGGUGCAUUGUGAUCGAUUAAGUGAUGAUGUGAAAUUCGUGAUUGCUUGUUUAUAUGAUUUCGAAAACGAUAUCAGACGAAUUGGGAAAUCUAUGAUCAGUGCUCCGAUGGAUUUCAGUAAGAUUGAUGCUGUUGUACAGCUCAAGGUGCAGUUAUAUAUGAAGGUUAGGCCUAUAUACAUCGUUAAACAUAUACAGGAAGCUAUAAAUGAUUUAUUCAAUCAAAUCAGCUAAAUCUGGCCAAAUGUAUAAAUAUUUUAGCUAUAUGUUUGACCAAUGAGUUAUUUUUAAAAGGUUCUCUGUAUUUUUGUGACUAAUACCUACUUAUACGAAUUUAACUAAUUUUUUGGGCGAGUUUAGCCUUUGGAGAGAGUGCGACGAGAUUUCGUGAAAACUCGUCGAAACACCAGUAACUUCAAUAAAUUCGCUCCAAAUUGAGAAAAAAUAUGUUAAAAGUCAAGUAAUGUGAUCAGGCAAAAAUGCACGAAGGUGAAAGAUUUGCUGAAAUAUGUUAAAGCGGUGUAGAAACUCUCAAAAAACUACCCCAUAAUCUGCGUUAAUCGUCAAUAAAAUGAUGAAACAGAAGCGAUUACGAAAAGUGUUAGGGUAUUGCAGAGGUUGCAUAUUGCUCGUAUUAUAACAAUUUAGGGGGAAAACAUUGACAUUUCUGAAAAUCACCAUAAACUAAUGAAAUUCGGUACAACUUGGUGAAAGCUCUCGGCUUCGUCUCGCUCCUUAAACUUCGCACUCGUUAAUCGCAUACUUUCCCCUCCUGUCACGUAAUACGAUAUACCUACUACAUAUUAUAAAUCUUGGGUUAGUUUAGGUCGUAAUAUUAAUGCAUUAUUUUUACAAUCAAUAUGUACUUAUAUUUGUUAAUACAGUUUUUUUUUUUUUUUUUUGUUAGUACCUACGUUUUAACUUAAUAAAAUCAGUACCUACCUACUCUC